AACGAACGCUGGCGGCAGGCCUAACACAUGCAAGUCGAACGAAGUCUUCGGACUUAGUGGCGGACGGGUGAGUAACACGUGGGAACGUGCCUUUAGGUUCGGAAUAACUCAGGGAAACUUGUGCUAAUACCGAAUGUGCCCUUCGGGGGAAAGAUUUAUCGCCUUUAGAGCGGCCCGCGUCUGAUUAGCUAGUUGGUGAGGUAAAGGCUCACCAAGGCGACGAUCAGUAGCUGGUCUGAGAGGAUGAUCAGCCACAUUGGGACUGAGACACGGCCCAAACUUCUACGGGAGGCAGCAGUGGGGAAUCUUGCGCAAUGGGCGAAAGCCUGACGCAGCCAUGCCGCGUGAAUGAUGAAGGUCUUAGGAUUGUAAAAUUCUUUCACCGGGGACGAUAAUGACGGUACCCGGAGAAGAAGCCCCGGCUAACUUCGUGCCAGCCGCCGCAGUAACAC
rnacentral:rRNA from 1 species